ACGCGAGCUUCCACUACUUCGUUACACGUCGAGGCGGCUCCUCAGGCGCUUUCACGAGGAUGUUCGAUACGUGAAAUCUUAUCGUCGUAAACAAAUCAUCCGUCGAUGAGGAUCUCGCCUCCUGUCUUGUAUGUAUAUAUAUAUAUAUAAGUGUUCAACUCAAUUAUAUCGCGUAUUCGAUUCCGGAUCGCGAAUAAAUGGCGUUGAGUACGGGUCGUUCUGAUUGACUGGAAAGCGGUGUAAAAUCGAAGGAUGAGCAACAGGAUUUAUUCAUUUUCCUAGACAAGUGUGGAAUUGGUUUCGCGAUACUUGUCGGUGUUGAUAUUUUCCUUGUAAUGAGAAUAAUUGGGGGAAGAUUUGUAUCGAGAUAUGAUUGUUGAAAUAUAAUUGAGGGAAUCGUUCGAAAUGU